GAUGAACGCUGGCGGCGUGCCUAAUACAUGCAAGUCGAGCGAACGGACGAGAAGCUUUCUUCUCUGAUGUUAGCGGUGGACGGGUGAGUAACACGUGGAUAUCCUCCCUAUAAUACUGGGAUAACUUCGGGAAUCCUGCGCUAUUACCGGAUAAUCUUUUGAACCGCAUGGUGCAAAAGUGAAAGACGUUCUUGCUGUCCCUUAUAGAUGGAUCCGCGCUGCAUUAGCUAGUUGGUAAGGUAACGGCUUACCAAGGCAACGAUGCGUAGACGACCUGAGAGGGGGAUCGGCGACCCUGGAGCUGGGACACGGUCCAGGCGCCUGAGAGAGGCACCAGAAGGGAACCUUACGCAGUGGGCGAAAAUCUGACGGAGCGAGGGCACGUGAGUGGUGGAGGUCCUCGGAGCGUGAAACCCUGUUAUUGGGUGUGAACAUAUUUGUAAGGGACUGAGCACAAAGUGACGGUACCUAUUCAGAAAGCCACGGCUAACUACGUG
rnacentral:rRNA from 1 species